rnacentral:rRNA from 1 species
AACUAACUAGGAUUCCCUCAGUAGCUGCGAGCGAACAGGGAUAAGCCCAGCACCGAAUCCCGCGGCCGAUACCGGACGCCGGGAAAUGUGGUGUUCGGGAGGGUCCAUUAUCCCGAGAUUAUGCGGUGCGUCCAAGUCCUUCUUGAACGGGGCCACAGCCCAUAGAGGGUGCCAGGCCCGUAGUGACCGCCGCUAAUCGCGGGAGGAUCUCUCCUCAGAGUCGGGUUGCUUGAGAGUGCAGCCCUAAGUGGGUGGUAAACUCCAUCUAAGGCUAAAUAUGACCACGAGACCGAUAGCGAACAAGUACCGUGAGGGAAAGUUGAAAAGCACUUUGAAGAGAGAGUUCAAGAGUACGUGAAACCGUUUAGGGGUAAACCUGAGAAACCCGAAAGGUCGAAGGGCGAAAUUCAUUCGCGUUUCGAAGCAGGCGUCGAACGGGGUCGUGUGACGGAAAGCGUUCGCGCUUUUCGCACCCYCCGUUCGUACGAUCCGGUUGCGAACGCGUGCACUUUUCUCCUGGUAGGACGUCGCGAUCCGUUGGGUGUCGGUCUACGGCUCGCGGUGGAGCCCGUUCGUCGUUGCAAAACGUACGAGCGGACCCGCGUGUCCCGGCCGACUCGCUCGACGGUAUACGAAAGGUUUAGGGCCGCUCUUAAUGAGCGUUCGGCUCGUGGCAAGCGCGCCAGAUGCGUCGGCGAUCGGACCUAGUGCCGAUUCUGACCUCUGGUGACUGUUGGGCACGAUGUUCUCGAACAGACC